CCAAGCGUUGUCCGGAUUUAUUGGGCGUAAAGAGCUCGUAGGCGGUUCGAUAAGUCGGGUGUGAAAACUUUGGGCUCAACCCAAAGCGUGCAUUCGAUACUGUUGUGACUAGAGUUCGGUAGGGGAGUGGGGAAUUCCUAGUGUAGCGGUGAAAUGCGCAGAUAUUAGGAGGAACACCGGUGGCGAAGGCGCCACUCUGGGCCGAAACUGACGCUGAGGAGCGAAAGCGUGGGUAGCAAACAGG
rnacentral:rRNA from 1 species